UCUGAAUCUGCGUACGGCUCCGCACACCAGUUGUAAACCAAAGCAAGCAAGCCCGGUUUCGACGCCUUUCGGGGCUAGAAGCCGGGCUACAAGGAUAACCCUGGUAAUUCUGAGGCUAAUACUUGACACAGAACCUGCCGACUGGGCUUCGGUUCGGGAAGCGGGGGAUGUGCGACUAUCGGGCCAACAAAACCGGAAAGAGCGCACGUUCAGACCACUUAAAAAGGCUUCGGGUCCCUCGGGAUCCGGGGUUGUGGCUCUUGCAGCGUGCUUCUGACCUAUCAACUAGACGGCAGCCUAAGGGACAUGCU
rnacentral:rRNA from 1 species